GCAUAUCAAUAAGCGGAGGAAAAGAAACCAACAGGGAUUGCCUUAGUAACGGCGAGUGAAGCGGCAACAGCUCAAAUUUGAAAGCUGGCUCCUUUGGAGUCCGCGUUGUAAUUUGUAGAGGAUGAUUCGGCAAGGGCUCCCGCCUAAGUCUCCUGGAACGGAGCGUCAUAGAGGGUGAGAAUCCCGUAUGCGGUGGGCUGCCUAAGCCAUGUGAAUCUCCUUCGACGAGUCGAGUUGUUUGGGAAUGCAGCUCUAAAUGGGAGGUAAAUUUCUUCUAAAGCUAAAUACCGGCCAGAGACCGAUAGCGCACAAGUAGAGUGAUCGAAAGAUGAAAAGCACUUUGGAAAGAGAGUUAAAAAGUACGUGAAAUUGUUGAAAGGGAAGCGCUUGCAGCCAGACUUGUCCGCAGUUGCUCAGCCGGUCUCCUGACCGGUGUACUCUUCUGCGGCCAGGCCAGCAUCAGUUCGGGCGGUCGGAUAAAGACCUCGGGAAUGUAGCUCCUCUCGGGGAGUGUUAUAGCCCGGGGUGGAAUGCGGCCAGCCUGGACUGAGGAUCUCGCUUCGGCUAGGAUGCUGGCGUAAUGGCUGUAAGCGGCCCGUCUUGAAACACGGACC
rnacentral:rRNA from 1 species